rnacentral:rRNA from 1 species
UACGUAGGGGGCAAGCGUUGUCCGGAUUUAUUGGGCGUAAAGAGCGUGUAGGCGGCCAUACAGGUCAGCUGUGAAAACUCGAGGCUCAACCUCGAGACGUCGGUUGAAACCGUAUGGCUAGAGUCCGGAAGAGGAGAGUGGAAUUCCCGGUGUAGCGGUGAAAUGCGCAGAUAUCGGGAAGAACACCCGUGGCGAAGGCGGCUCUCUGGGCCGUUACUGACGCUGAGGAGCGAAAGCGUGGGGAGCGAACAGG